AGAAUCAACGCUGGCGGCGUGCCUAACACAUGCAAGUCGCACGAGAAAGGGUAGCAAUACCUGAGUAAAGUGGCGCACGGGUGAGUAACACGUGAAUUAUCUACCUCCGAGUGGGGAAUAACUGAGAGAAAUCUUAGCUAAUACCGCAUAACACUUACGAGUCAAAGCAGCAAUGCGCUUGGAGAGGAGUUCGCGGCCGAUUAGUUAGUUGGCGGGGUAAUGGCCCACCAAGACGAUGAUCGGUAUCCGGCCUGAGAGGGCGCACGGACACACUGGAACUGAAACACGGUCCAGACUCCUACGGGAGGCAGCAGUGGGGAAUUUUGCGCAAUGGGGGAAACCCUGACGCAGCAACGCCGCGUGGAGGAUGAAAUAUCUUGGUAUGUAAACUCCUUUCGAUGGGGAAGAUUAUGACGGUACCCAUAGAAGAAGCCCCGGCUAACUUCGCGCCAGCAGCCGCGGUAAU
rnacentral:rRNA from 1 species